rnacentral:rRNA from 1 species
UACAGAGGUCUCAAGCGUUGUUCGGAUUCAUUGGGCGUAAAGGGUGCGUAGGCGGCGCGGUAAGUCGGGUGUGAAAUCUCGGAGCUUAACUCCGAAACUGCAUUCGAUACUGCCGUGCUUGAGGACUGGAGAGGGGACUGGAAUUUACGGUGUAGCGGUGAAAUGCGUAGAUAUCGUAAGGAAGACCAGUGGCGAAGGCGGGUCUCUGGACAGUUCCUGACGCCGAGGCACGAAGGUCAGGGGAGCAAACGGG